rnacentral:rRNA from 1 species
UACGGGGGGGGCAAGCGUUGUUCGGAAUUACUGGGCGUAAAGGGCUCGUAGGCGGCCAACUAAGUCAUACGUGAAAUCCCUCGGCUUAACCGGGGAACUGCGUCUGAUACUGGAUGGCUUGAGUUCGGGAGAGGGAUGCGGAAUUCCAGGUGUAGCGGUGAAAUGCGUAGAUAUCUGGAGGAACACCGGUGGCGAAGGCGGCAUCCUGGACCGAUACUGACGCUGAUGAGCGAAAAGCCAGGGGAGCAAACGGG